UCGAAGCAACGCGAAGAACCUUACCAGGUCUUGACAUCCUCUGACAAUCCUAGAGAUAGGACUUUCCCCUUCGGGGGACGGAGUGACAGGUGGUGCAUGGUUGUCGUCAGCUCGUGUCGUGAGAUGUUGGGUUAAGUCCCGCAACGAGCGCAACCCUUAUUCUUAGUUGCCAGCAUUAAGUUGGGCACUCUAAGGAGACUGCCGGUGACAAACCGGAGGAAGGUGGGGAUGACGUCAAAUCAUCAUGCCCCUUAUGACCUGGGCUACACACGUGCUACAAUGGAUGGUACAAAGGGCUGCAAAACCGCGAGGUCAAGCCAAUCCCAUAAAACCAUUCUCAGUUCGGAUUGUAGGCUGCAACUCGCCUACAUGAAGCCGGAAUCGCUAGUAAUCGUGGAUCAGCAUGCCACGGUGAAUACGUUCCCGGGUCUUGUACACACCGCCCGUCACACCACGAGAGUUUGUAACACCCGAAGCCGGUGGGGUAACCUUUUGGAGCCAGCCGUCUAAGGUGGGAC
rnacentral:rRNA from 1 species